AUUGAACGCUGGCGGCAUGCCUAACACAUGCAAGUCGAACGGUAACAGGUCGCUGUGAUCCCUUCGGAGUGAACUUGAUGCUGACGAGUGGCGGACGGGUGAGUAAUGCUUGGGAAUCUGCCCAGUAGUGGGGGACAACACGAGGAAACUCGUGCUAAUACCGCAUACGUCCUACGGGAGAAAGUGGGGGAUCUUCGGACCUCACGCUAUUGGAUGAGCCCAAGUCGGAUUAGCUUGUUGGUGGGGUAAAGGCCUACCAAGGCGACGAUCCGUAGCUGGUCUGAGAGGACGAUCAGCCACACUGGGACUGAGACACGGCCCAGACUCCUACGGGAGGCAGCAGUGGGGAAUAUUGGACAAUGGGCGCAAGCCUGAUCCAGCAAUGCCGCGUGUGUGAAGAAGGCCUGCGGGUUGUAAAGCACUUUCAGUAGAGAAGAAAUGUUCAGGGUUAAUAACCCUGGAACUUGACGUAACCUACAGAAGAAGCACCGGCUAACUCCGUGCCAGCAGCCGCGGUAAUACGGAGGGUGCGGGCGUUAAUCGGAAUUACUGGGCGUAAAGCGCGCAUAGGCGGUUAGGUCAGUCGAAUGUGAAAGCCCUGGGCUUAACCUGGGAAUUGCAUCCGAUACUGCCUGACUAG
rnacentral:rRNA from 1 species